UACGGAGGGUGCAAGCGUUAAUCGGAAUUACUGGGCGUAAAGCGCACGUAGGUGGUUUGCUAAGUCAGCUGUGAAAUCCCCGGGCUCAACCUGGGCACUGCAGUUGAAACUGGCAAGCUAGAGUAGGGUAGAGGGGUGUGGAAUUCCAGGUGUAGCGGUGUAAUGCGUAGAUAUCUGGAGGAACAUCAGUGGCGAAGGCGACACCCUGGACUCAUACUGACACUGAGGUGCGAAAGCGUGGGGAGCAAACAGG
rnacentral:rRNA from 1 species